rnacentral:tRNA from 1 species
GGAGAGGUGCUCGAGUGGUUUAAGAGGCACGCUUGGAAAGCGUGUGUACUUCAAAAGGGUACCGGGGGUUCGAAUCCCUUCCUCUCCG